AGAGUUUGAUCCUGGCUCAGAUUGAACGCUGGCGGAAUGCUUUACACAUGCAAGUCGAACGAUGAACCUUAGCUUGCUAAGGGGAUUAGUGGCGAACGGGUGAGUAAUAUAUCGGAACGUGCCUUGUAAUGGGGGAUAACUAGUCGAAAGAUUAGCUAAUACCGCAUACGCCCUGAGGGGGAAAGUAGGGGAUCUUCGGACCUUACGUUAUAAGAGCGGCCGAUAUCUGAUUAGCUAGUUGGUGGGGUAAUGGCCUACCAAGGCGACGAUCAGUAGCUGGUCUGAGAGGACGACCAGCCACACUGGAACUGAGACACGGUCCAGACUCCUACGGGAGGCAGCAGUGGGGAAUUUUGGACAAUGGGCGCAAGCCUGAUCCAGCCAUUCCGCGUGAGUGAAGAAGGCCUUCGGGUUGUAAAGCUCUUUCGCAAGGGAAGAAAACUUACUUUCUAAUAAAGAGUGAGGCUGACGGUACCUUGAUAAGAAGCACCGGCUAACUACGUGCCAGCAGCCGCGGUAAUACGUAGGGUGCGAGCGUUAAUCGGAAUUACUGGGCGUAAAGCGUGCGCAGGCGGUUUGGCAAGUCAGAUGUGAAAUCCCCGAGCUCAACUUGGGAACUGCGUUUGAAACUGCCAGACUAGAAUAUGUCAGAGGGGGGUAGAAUUCCACGUGUAGCAGUGAAAUGCGUAGAGAUGUGGAGGAAUACCAAUGGCGAAGGCAGCCCCCUGGGAUAAUAUUGACGCUCAUGCACGAAAGCGUGGGGAGCAAACAGGAUUAGAUACCCUGGUAGUCCACGCCCUAAAC
rnacentral:rRNA from 1 species